rnacentral:rRNA from 1 species
GAUGAACGCUGGCGGCGUGCCUAAUACAUGCAAGUCGAGCGAACAGAUGAGAAGCUUGCUUCUCUGAUGUUAGCGGCGGACGGGUGAGUAACACGUGGGUAACCUACCUAUAAGACUGGGAUAACUCCGGGAAACCGGGGCUAAUACCGGAUAAUAUUUUGAACCGCAUGGUUCAAUAGUGAAAGACGGUUUCGGCUGUCACUUAUAGAUGGACCCGCGCCGUAUUAGCUAGUUGGUAAGGUAACGGCUUACCAAGGCGAUGAUACGUAGCCGACCUGAGAGGGUGAGCGGCCACACUGGAACUGAGACACGGUCCAGACGCCUACGGGAGGCAGCAGUAGGGAAUCUUCCGCAAUGGGCGAAAGCCUGACGGAGCAACGCCGCGUGAGUGAUGAAGGUCUUCGGAUCGUAAAACUCUGUUGUUAAGGAAGAACAAAUUUGUUAGUAACUGAACAAGUCUUGACGGUACCUAACCAGAAAGCCACGGCUAACUACGUGCCAGCCGCCGCAGUAA